rnacentral:rRNA from 1 species
UACGGAGGGGCUAGCGUUGUUCGGAAUUACUGGGCGUAAAGCGCACGUAGGCGGCUUUGCAAGUUAGAGGUGAAAGCCCGGGCUCAACUCCGGAAUUGCCUUUAAAACUGCAUCGCUAGAAUUGUGGAGAGGUAAGUGGAAUUCCGAGUGUAGAGGUGAAAUUCGUAGAUAUUCGGAAGAACACCAGUGGCGAAGGCGGCUCUCUGGGACGGUACUGACGCUGAGACGCGAAAGCGUGGGGAGCGAACAGG